UACAGAGGGGGCAAGCGUUGUUCGGAAUUACUGGGCGUAAAGGGCGCGUAGGCGGCCCGCUAAGUCGAACGUGAAAUCCCCGAGCUCAACUCGGGAACUGCGUCCGAUACUGGUGGGCUUGAAUCCGGGAGAGGGAUGCGGAAUUCCAGGUGUAGCGGUGAAAUGCGUAGAUAUCUGGAGGAACACCGGUGGCGAAGGCGGCAUCCUGGACCGGCAUUGACGCUGAGGCGCGAAAGCUAGGGGAGCGAACGGG
rnacentral:rRNA from 1 species